CAACACAUAAGGAGGAGUCACUUCUGCGUGGAACGAAGGCAGAGUCCCCUCAGAGAUACUGACGAACAUCACCAUGGGACAGAUGAACUGAUGGAAACAGGCAACAACAUUGGUUUCAUUGCACUGGCCUGUUCAAGGAAGUAAUUACCGGCUCUUUGGACACAAAUCUUGGACACAAAUACUGCCUAGAGAAUAUAUUUUUUGCUUUAACACCACAGAGUUUACAGCUACUACAGUAGCUAUAAACAAAGAAACAAGGAAGAUCAACACAUGGAAAGGAGAGG